rnacentral:sRNA from 1 species
UGGAGCAUGGUUAAUGAUUCGCAAUGUUCGCUUCCUCGGUCUACUACUACUAAACGCAUCCCAUGUGCGCGGUAGACCGGUGGGCGACACUCAGCGUUGAGUCAUCCUCCAGUUACACUAAGAACCCGCGCCUUGGCGCGGGUUUUUUU